rnacentral:rRNA from 1 species
AUGCACAACCCUAGCUCAAAUUCUCAUUUAAAAGACCAUCUCUCCCCAGAGAGAUCAGCAGCAGCAGCAACCAGUGGCAGCGGAGCAUUAGCGCGCUCUCCUCUCUCUCAUUUUUCACAUCCCAAAAGUCUUCCAACAAUGUAUUGGCCGGUGCUUUGCCAGCAAGUUAAACAUGAACUGCAUCAGCCAACACAUGUCUUUAAUUCCGCUUACAGGAACAACAUCAGCCACCGAACCCUGAACAAAUCCACCUGGACACACAACAACUCAGGAGUAAGAGCCACCGCGAGGAUGAGAUUGCCGGAGGAACAAAUACUUCAAGGAGAAGUCGACACCACCGCCACACCAACCACACCCGGAGACACCAAGCUCGCUGCUAGUUAA